UAAAGCCAGCCUGCCACAGCUGAGCAGACCGCUGCAGUCGCGUUCGCCGAGCGGAUGCACUCACGCACACAUGCAAGCGCCCAUUUCCACUCGCCCCAAAAGUGCAUUCGCACAACUCACUCAAUGAGCUCAGUCAGCGAGUGAGAGAGAGAGAGAGUGAGUACGGCUGAGAGAGCGCGAGUUAGCCGGCUUGUGUGUGCAACUGUAUGGGUGCCUUCAUUCAUGGCAGCCGGUAAAAAAAGGCUAAAAGCGAAAUUGGUUAACAGAGAGCCAGGCCAGGCAGCCAGCAGCAAGAAGCUAGAAGCUAGAAGCUAGACGUUGGAAAAAAAGGCGAAGAAAAAGAAAAUGGUGGCUCAGAGAGCGCUGGAUUUUUCGCUCAAGUCGCCGCUGGAAAGGCCAAGAGCAAGUACAGUGCAAUUUUUAAUUGCACACACACACACACAGAGACUCACACACAGAUGGAGUCACACAUACACACACAUAUACAUAGAUGCAUAAUGCACGCUCUCUGAGAAUUUCACACACAUUUUUUUUAUUCAACCAGCAUUUUGUUCUCGAGUUUGUAAAAAUUUGCAACGACUCGCCGCCAGUAGUGGUGUUUGCAUUUAUUUGUAGUUUUUUUUUUUCGCUGUGCCGUUCAGCCUCAGUUUUUGGUGGGUUUUCGAGUUUUUAGGUCCGCGUCCGAAUCGCCAGCGUUCGGCACUGGAGGCGCUCACUCACCGCUCGAAAUGCAACUGGCGGCCAGCGACGAAGCGAACCGAUCCGAGCCGGCUAUACGUCUAUAUAUUCCACAUCCACUUCCCACAUCGGUGGGUCUUCUCGGGCGGCGUGCGGGGUCUGCGGGGUGCGGAAAUCGGCGGGAGGAAUACGUCGCCUACCGUUGCACAUGCACUUUUUAAGUUUUUUUUUAUUUUGGUUUCGAGCUUUUGUUGUUUUCGCGUUUUUUUUUCUUUUUUCGGUGCGAUUGUCGAGUGCGCGUACUGGGUAUUCAAAUUAUUCACUUGGGUUUUCACUUUGAGGAGUGGCGAUUCUUGUGAGAAAGUCGCCAAAGGAUCCUUAGAUGGUGACCUCCAAAGAUUGAGCGAUCGAUAAUUGGUUUUUUCGGCGUUGACUUGGCGUUGGCGUUGACUGGAACAACUUUUGGACCGGACCGCUGGAGAACGAGAUGUGGGCGGUGGAGGGGCAGCUACUUGGAGUCUAUGGGGGGGUGGGGGUGCUACUCUGGGCCUGGCCCCUGGUCUCUGCCAGAAUUUUGAGUCGUGACUGGUUUCAAGGUCCCUCAAUUAAUGCGAAAAUUUCGUUGUAAUUUUUGUGCCGCCUUUUUUUUUGUUGUUUUUGUUGUGCUGUUUGUGUUUGCAUGAUUGUAAAUGAAAGAAACAAAAUUCGUGUAUAAUAAAAAUAGUAAUUGUUUA